AGGGCAAUAGCUCAAUUGGCAGAGCGUCGGUCUCCAAAACCGAAGGUUGUGGGUUCGAUUCCCUCUUGCCCUGCCA
rnacentral:tRNA from 10 species